rnacentral:rRNA from 1 species
GACCUGAUAUCAGGCAAGACUACCCG